AUUGAAUUAGCGUUGCGGAUGAUAUUAGUUUGAUGAUUAUCAGCAUUAUUAGUAAAAGUAUUAUGGUUACAAAAUUAAAAUGUCUUGUUAAAUUGUGUUCUUGAAUGGUGAGAAAUUUUUAUGCAGAUUAGGAUAUUAUGUGGUGUCGAACAUGAUGAUUCGAAGAGGCUGGUUUUUGUAUCAAAAUCAAUAAAAGAUGUGGUAAGAUUUUGUAGUCCUAAAGAUUUUGAUUUUAAUCAUUUUUUCUUCCCCCUCCCCCUCGCCCUCCCCUUGGGGAUUUACUUGAGUAUAAAUAUUAAUUUGGAUUCUUUUUUUAAUAGACUCUGAUUGCAAAGCAGUGGCAAUUUGCAUAGAGGAAAACUAUUGGGUUCCAGAAUGUGGAGGAUUUGGGUGAGUUCAAUGACAUUGAGGCAUGGACGAAGCAACAAAGAGUUUCCAAACUUAGCUUAUAAAAGAAAUCUACCAAGUGAUCACAUUACGUUGUAUUAAGCUUCAUGUUGCAUUUCAAUUCCAAGUAAUCAGGCAAAAACAAGGGAUAUGGAAUCAAGGAAGCUUAUGAAAGAUAUAUGCAGGCACUGUGGGGAGAAGUUGUUGGGGUCUCGUAUUGAGGCACGAACAAUAUACUGUCCAAUGUGUGGUGCUACUACAAUACUUCAAAUACCACAGCAGCUGGUCACUCUUCCCGCACAUGGACGGGCGUUACCUACAAGGGACAUCGAUACUGAUGAAGAUCGUGAAAAAGGGUGUUAAUGUUUUUGUGGAUAAGGGUGUUGAUAACUUUGUAGUGUCAAAGUAAUGUAAAUGUAUUUUUUAUGGUGUUUUCAGAUGUCAAACAACUGAAGUUUUUCGGCGAACACUCACUUUGAAUGCUG
rnacentral:lncRNA from 1 species